UGGGGUGAGGGCGCCUGUCUCUCUUCCUCCCGGUCCUCACUCCGCCAAUCCCCUCUUCCUCCUCUCGCCUCCCAUGGCGCCGCCGCUCCUGCCUCCUCACCUCCCGUGGCCCGCCCUCCUGGUCGCGUCUCUUCUCUCCAUCGCCAGUCGCGGAAGCUGCUGCGCUCCUCUUCCUCCCUAGCCGCAUCGCGCGAGAGACCCGAGGUCACCCGCCUCCGAUCCGACGGGCGAGGAGGCCAGCGGCUGCCUCCCGGUCAAAUCCGGCUGCCCACCGACCGACUCGAGCUGGCGGUGUUGUUCCCGGCGGAGCACGCCGUCGCGCCGUUGAUGUGGGGAGGCCACGGGGGAGCACGCCGUCGCCAUCGGCUGCGUCCUGGGCGACUCCGACGCGCCCUGCCACGAGCUUCGUCUCCUCUGUCGCUGCCGUGAGCUUCUCCGCCGCUACCUCAUCUCCUCCAGCACCCUCUCUUGCUCGUGUAUCUGGACGAGAGGCAACCUACUGAGAGGAACAUGUCGACCUUGGUGACAUCUAGGAUGAGGCACGUCCAUGAAAUCGAUGGUGAGGCAGCCGGCCGUCAGGGGUGCGUUAGCCUGGGUGAUCCCCUAGCGAAGCUGCAGCGACCACACAAGGUGCAUGUAGCCGGCAUCAUGACACUCUUGGGGCACACUGGAGCCUGGUGAUUAUGUGCGUUCCUGCAAAAAAGAGUAAUUCAGGACCAAUCUUACUUCAUCUGGACUCCUUAGGGAUGCAUCCUACUGGAGGAAUUGAUGACGGCGGUGGUCAUUUUCCAGGUUCAGCAGUGCAUACUUGGAACAGGUAAUAAAAAGGGAAUCACUUAAUUUUAUUUGUAUUUGCACCAAUAAUCAUGUUUAGCAUAUUAGAACAAUUUACUUUGAGAACAAAUGGCUGGAAGAACGAUGCGAUUUGAUACCCUGUUAUGUUGGUGUCGAGAGAAAAUUUGGUGUUUAGUUUUUCUUAUAUGUACAAUUAUCUGCCGCGAAUCUUGUGCUUUCAAUCAGUGUGUUUAUUUUGGCUAAAUUCUGAGCCUUUUCCGGAUCUGAGCAAACGAUCCUGCAACGACAGCAAGAGGCAGCCCACAUGAAUCUAUUGAGGUUGGUUUGCACAAGGUGCUGUAGUUUUCAAGAUAUAUCAUGUGCUCAAAUGUUUGAAGGCUUAUGUUGUGUACCGAAAGAAUCCUCAAAAAAAUUAGAAGUUCCAAGAAUGAUGAUGUGCCGCGGGGAUGGACAAUGAAGAUUGUUUGUAGUUUUUCCACUUGAUGUUUGUUCGGUAAGAAAACAACAAUGUAUAUGAUUGAUGAGCUGCAUCCUAUAACCGCUCACUGAUGCUAAUUGGUUCUUACACGUAAAAACAAGCUUCAAAAGUUGUAUCGGUACUUCUAUCGUCAAUUCUCCGCCUCUGUUUUUUCAUCUUCAGUUCAAGAAUCAUCCUCCAAUCCAGAAAGUAAAUGUUAAUUACUGGUCUUCAUCGCGUGUUGGAUGGAAAGGCCUCUUCUAUCUUAGCAUCGCUUUUCAUAUGCCCUGUUACUUAUAAUGCAGUGUUCCAUUUUGCCAUUCAUGGAUGGCCUCACCUUAUUGUCUAUGAACAAUCAUACUCUACAGUUAGUGCUUUGGUUUGUAAUGGAUUUGUACUUGUGAAGCUCAUUCGUUUAGCCAUGUGUUGCUAACUGAUGUACCUAUGUACUCCCUCCGUUCCAAAUUACUCGUCGUGGUUUUAGUUCAAAUUUUGAACUAAAACCACGACGAGUAAUUUGGAACGGAGGGAGUAUUUGACAAGCAGACUACAACAUAUUAUGAUUAUAUGGAUCCUAUUUCAUGUUGCUUGUGUAUGUGCUACAUACGCUUCCUAUUUUGAUCAUACACACCUUGUGGUAGAUUAUAUGGAUUCUACUACCUGUGCUGCAUACACUUGUGUAUGUGUUACAUACGCUUCCUAUUUUGAUCUUACAGUGUCACUAUGCCUCCUUCUGAAACUCUUUAGCACUAAACUAUAUGCCAUGUUGCUCUUAAUUAGGCUAAAUGCUUAUACUUUGUACUAAAUUUUUUGCCCUGAUGCACUUAAUCAUGCUAAAUCAUUUUGCUUUAUCAUGGGCAACUAAACAUGCUAAGCUUGCCUACUUGGCACACACGUUUAGGCAUUAUUGUCAGGACCCGGCAGUGUGAAGUGGCGCCUACGAAGUUGAUCGACAAGGAAGUUGAAUGAAAAGCCACUUAUUAGUACGCUUAGUAGCCAUGGCUCCGUAGUUGUCUCCCAUUUGUUAUGUUCCUGCUCUUACUAUCCUAUAUUUGCGCUUCUGGUAUCGAACUUCAUGUCGAGUGGCUGCGCAUGUUGAUUGAGUGGCUAUCUUUUGUGGUCUUAUGAACGCACUGAACUUGAUGCUAAACCUGAAUUCCUAUUAAUUUGCAUUACCUGCUUACCAAAAUGUUGGGACCGGCACCCUCGCGCCAAGGCGCGAUUCUGAUCCAGUUAUUAUGUUACCCCUGCCCCUAUAAGGGCGCGCGACGCGAUUUACAAACCGGUAACUAAAACAAAAAAAGAGUAAACCACGGGCCGCCCAUUCUAUCCCUAACCUCCAGUCCCGGGCUUCCUCUGCUGAUGCUGCGUGAUGUUGUGGUGAUGUUGAGGUUUUGAUUCAGAGAAACUGAACAAAAAGGAGAAGAAGUAGUUGUCUCCUAAUUGUACAUGUUGGCUUGUCCUCUGUAUAGAAGUUUGAAUCGUACACUUGUCAGUUUGUGUGUGUGUUGUUAAAAUUCUCUGUUAGGUUUGACCAAGAUACAACAGUUUGGCGCAUACAUCGUUUGCAUGCCUAUCUCUCCCAUUUUGCACAGUUUUCCUAAGUGACCUUAAGUUCAGUCGCAUCUGUAGGUGUGGGUGCAGAAAAAACAUUUGCAUCAGUUCAAAAUGAAACACAAAAACAGUAUGAUGCGUAGUUUGAUGUGUGUGUUAAAAACAAAACAGUACGGUUUUGCAUUAUAUUUUGUUCACUAAACAAAAAAAGUUCUAUCAGUUCAGCAAAGAAAAACCCUCUCCUCCUGUCAAUCCCACUUCAACGGCCGCGUAAUUCCAUUUCCCCUUCUUUCUCUCUAGCCAUUACCUCGGCCGCCGGCCACCACGCUCCUGCACCUUGAUGCUUGUUCUCUGUUGGUGGUGCACGCCACUGACGAUAGAUGGUAGCUACUCUUGAUGCACAUUUUUUCACUACUGGCUGUGCGUACGCAUUGGUGUGCUGUAGAGUGAUGUGAAACACUCAGUUCAAUUUCACAUUAACUAACUCGUCACACACUCAGUUCAAUUUCUUCAGUGGCAAAAAAGUGGAACCUGCAGGAGAAGCCACGGGGGGCGAGGACGUCCAACUCGGCGAGAUUAACGUCAUAGUCGACCCCAUGUUCGCUGGCAAGACCACCGUGGUUCUCCGCCGGCACCGUCCAUGGCUGGAGCUUGCUGGCGAUGGCGGAUGUGGAGCUUCACCACCAUUCGCAGCUCCAAACCGUGAUCCAGUUCUUCGUGAGGCUCUCGAGCUUGUAUUUUUUUCCAGUUCAUCUAAUGUAAG